GACGAACGCUGGCGGCGUGCCUAAUACAUGCAAGUAGAACGCACAGUUUAUACCGUAGCUUGCUACACCAUAGACUGUGAGUUGCGAACGGGUGAGUAACGCGUAGGUAACCUGCCUGGUAGCGGGGGAUAACUAUUGGAAACGAUAGCUAAUACCGCAUAAUAUUAAUUAUUGCAUGAUAAUUAAUUGAAAGGUGCAAUUGCACCACUACCAGAUGGACCUGCGUUGUAUUAGCUAGUAGGUGAGGUAACGGCUCACCUAGGCGACGAUACAUAGCCGACCUGAGAGGGUGAUCGGCCACACUGGGACUGAGACACGGCCCUGACUCCUACGGGAGGCAGCAGUAGGGAAUCUUCGGCAAUGGACGAAAGUCUGACCGAGCAACGCCGCGUGAGUGAAGAAGGUUUUCGGAUCGUAAAGCUCUGUUGUAAGAGAAGAACGGGUGUGAGAGUGGAAAGUUCACACUGUGACGGUAUCUGACCAGAAAGGGACGGCUAACUACGUG
rnacentral:rRNA from 1 species